GGCAUUGGUGCAUGCUUGGCGGCCGCCACAAUGGCAGCCGCUCGCUCAUACGGAGGCUCGAAAGGGCCAAAAAGGCUUUACAUAACGGCCGCAGCAGUGAUGAGGAAGGCCGGCGGGGGGAGAGGGAACCCGCGUGGGGACACACACACACACCCGCGGCUUCAGCAAGCCCCCUGAAGGGGCUAAAGGGAGAAAACAGUCCAAAGUGUGGGAGAAAAUUAGCUCUGUGUCUGGAGGGGUAAACAUCCUGCCGUCAGCACUUUCCCUCCCCUGGAGGGGAGGGCGCUCCUCGGGUCUGUGUAGGCUCUGCCACUUCUCUAUGGACACCAAGCAAAGCUACAUCGACUGAAAUGACUCUGCAGUAUUGUGGAGGCUUUAUUGUUUAUUUUUCCUGGUGGCAGUGUGUGUAAAAGUUCAAUAAAGCCUAUGAAACUC